UACGUAGGGACCAAGCGUUGUUCGGAAUUACUGGGCGUAAAGGGCGCGUAGGCGGUCUUUUAAGUCUUGUGUGAAAUCCCUCGGCUCAACUGAGGAACUGCACGGGAUACUGGAAGACUUGAGUUCGGGAGAGGGAAGCGGAAUUCCGGGUGUAGCGGUGAAAUGCGUAGAUAUCCGGAGGAACACCGGUGGCGAAGGCGGCAUCCUGGACCGACACUGACGCUGAGGAGCGAAAGCCAGGGGAGCAAACGGG
rnacentral:rRNA from 1 species